AACGAACGCUGGCGGCAUGCCUAAUACAUGCAAGUCGAACGAAAUCUUCGGAUCUAGUGGCGCACGGGUGUGUAACGCGUGGGAAUCUGAACUUGGGUUCGGCAUAACUUCUGGAAACGGAAGCUAAUACCGGAUGAUGACGUAAGUCCAAAGAUUUAUCGCCCAAGGAUGAGCCCGCGUAGGAUUAGGUAGUUGGUGAGGUAAAGGCUCACCAAGCCGACGAUCAUUAGCUGGUCUGAGAGGAUGCUCAGCCACACUGGGACUGGGACACGGCCCAGAAUCCUACGGGAGGCAGCAGUAGGGAAUAUUGGACAAUGGGCGAAAGCCUGAUCCAGCAAUGCCGCGUGAGUGAUGAAGGCCUUAGGGUUGUAAAGCUCUUUUACCCGGGAUGAUAAUGACAGUACCGGGAGAAUAAGCUCCGGCUAACUCCGUG
rnacentral:rRNA from 1 species